rnacentral:rRNA from 1 species
UACGGGGGGGCAAGCGUUUGUUCGGAAUUACUGGGCGUAAAGGGCGCGUAGGCGGUUUGUUAAGUUGGAUGUGAAAACUGUGGGCUCAACCCAUAGCCUGCAUCCAAUACUGACAGGCUAGAGUUCUGGAGAGGAAGGCGGAAUUCUCGGUGUAGAGGUGAAAUUCGUAGAUAUCAGAGGAACACCGGUCGGCGAAGGCGGCCUUCUGGACAGUGACUGACUGAGACGCGAAAAGCGUGGGGAGCAAACAGG